rnacentral:lncRNA from 1 species
AUUCCUGACAGGGCGAGGGCUGCGCUCGGAACAGCGUGUCCGUGUCCGCCCCAGCGGAGCGAUGCCCAGGAAAGCCUCUCCCGGCCGGCCCAUGGGGAAUGCGCAGCGCCCGCCCGCGGCUCCCAGGGAAGGCGCGGCAGAGGCCCCGGAGGCAUCGCCGGGCCUGAAGCACCGCAGGAACCACCCCGACCCCGGCCCGCCGCCCGCAGAGCCACCGCCCUCAGCCGCCCCAGGAACGAAGCGGAGUGCAGCGACCAGCGGCCGCACCCUUGCGGAGAAGGCCGGUGUCGGCCCCCGGCCCGCCCGGGGUACCGCCGGGAUGCGGGUGCGAGGGGACCCCGCGCCCCCGGAGCACAGCACCCCGCUGCCGCCAUUUUGCGACCCGGCGCGCUGACAUGUCGCGCGCCGUGCGUAGCGCCGCCCCCCGCGCCUGCGCCCCGCGCCCGCGGCGGCCGAGCCGGGGCAGCUGCUCAGCGCCGCGGCGGCGGCGGAGACAAAGCGCCGGGUAAUGAAUGGGACGGGCCCGCCCGGCCCUUCCUCUUAACUCCUUCGGGCCCGGCCGGGCGGCGGCAGCGGCGACCUCCGGUUUCCCCCGCGGCGGCCGCCCGGGGAGAUACAAUCAUCUCAUUAAGUUUGAGUAGCAAGUAUUUAACCUCAAAUGAAGCCGCCUGCCUGCAGUGGAACAGAUGUCAGUUCUCUACAAAUCAUGCUUCCCAUGAAGUCAAGAAUGACUUGUGUCUUCUAUUAAGCCCGGCUUUCUGUACUUUAUUCAAGAUUAAACCGUUGCAUGCCUCUAGUUCAUGCUUGUACAUCUGUGCCAAUUCCUGUGAGCUUCUGUGGGCCUUGAGACUAGGACCCACCUUGUUUCAGUGUGACUGACAUGCCAGUUUUGCGUUUCUAAUUCUGCAUUUUUAAUGAUCAGUAUCUUGCAAAUCUCUCUAGUUUCAUACACGUGAGCUAGUACUGAUAUUUUAUCAUAGGAAAUUUCUGUAGAUAAAACGCACUGGUUUUAGUUUUCCUUCUUCAAGGAACAUAAAACUUUGACAAGCAGUAAGGUUCAUCUGGACUAGAAAUUUAUACUAAUAAAUUCUGCUGAUUUGUUUAUGAUUUUGGAUAU